UCAAGUUACUAAGAGUGUAUGGGGGAUGUCUUGGUGUCGAGAGGCGAUGAAGGACGUGGUAGGCUGCGAUAAGCCCGGGGCAGGAGCCGAACAUCCGCUAAUCCCGGGAUCUCCGAAUGGGGAAACCCGACGGAAACGGGCAACCGUUUUCCGCCAUCCUUGGCUGAAUGCAUAGGCCAUGAGAAGCGAACGCAGGGAACUGAAACAUCUUAGUACCUGCAGGAAAGGAAAUCAAUUGAGACUCCGUUAGUAGCGGCGAGCGAAAGCGGAAAAGCCCAAACCGAAAAGCUUGCUUUUUGGGGUUGUGGGCGUCGAUCAGGAGUUACAAAGACACGAUCAGCAAAACGGUCUGGAAAGUCCGGCCGCAGAAGGUGAUAGCCCUGUAUGCGAAAGAUCAGUGUCCUCCGUUACGGUCGACGUACCAGAGUAGCACGGAGCUCGUGGAACUCCGUGUGAAGCUGGGGGGUCCACCCUCCAAGGCUAAGUACUCCUCGACAACCGAUAGUGAAAAGUAGCGCGAGCGAACGAUGAAAAGAACCCCUACGAGGGGUGUGAAAAGGACCUGAAACCAUACACUUACAAGCUGUAGGAGCCCUAUGUCCGUCCUUCGGGACGGAAACGGGUGACUGCGUGCCUUUCGCAUAAUGAGCCGGCGAGUUGCUGUUUGUGGCCAGGUUAAGCACUUCAGGUGCGAAGCCGCAGCGAAAGCGAGUCUGAACAGGGCGUUGAGUCGCAAGCAGCAGACGCGAAACCAAGUGGUCAAUCCAUGGCCAGGUGGAAGGGGAUGUAAAAAUCCCUGGACGACCGAACCCGUUAACGUUGAAAAGUUAUGGGAUGAGCUGUGGAGAGGAGUAAAAGUCUAAUCAAACUUGGAGAUAGCUCGUUCUCUCCGAAAUAGCUUUAGGGCUAGCCUCGCGUGUUCCCUGUUGGGGGUAGAGCUACUGAUUGAGGAUAAGGGGCUACCCGCCUACUUACCUCUACCAAACUCCGAAUACCAACAGGCCAAACGUGGGAGUCAGUCUGCGGGGGAUAACCUUCGUGGUCGAGAGGGAAAGAACCCAGACCGCCAGCUAAGGUCCCGAAUUUCGUGCUUAGUUACUAAGGAAGUCUGAUUGCUGUGACAAUCAGGAUGUUGGCUUAGAAGCAGCCACCAUUUAAAAAGUGCGUAAUAGCUUACUGAUCGAGCAGUUGGGUGCCGAUAAUGACAGGGAAUAAGCCGAAAACCGAAGCUGCGGAUGUCCUUUGGACGUGGUAGGAGAGCGUAGCAGUCUGCGUCGAAGCGGUACGGAAACGAGCCGUGGAGCGGCUGCUAGUGAUUAUGCCGGCAUGAGUAACGAUAAAGCAGGUGAGAAUCCUGCUCGCCGAAAACCUAAGGUUUCCUGGGGAAGGUAAAUCCGCCCAGGGUUAGUCGGUCCCUUAGUCCAGGCCGAAAGGCGUAGACGAUGGGCAGCAGGUUAAUAUUCCUGCACCACGUUGCCGGACGAGGGAAGUGACGCAUCUUUUACGGUCAUCCCGCGACUAGUAGUGCGGGUUCCGCAAGGACGAGGCCAAUUUAGGAUGCCGAAGUGACCCGAACAGAUGCCGAGAAACAGCUUCCGCAGGUUGAUGGCAGCGUGACCGUACUAAAACUGACACAGGUAGGUGAGGAGAAUAUCCUAAGGCGCUCGAGAUAACUGUCCUUAAGGAACUAGGCAAUUUGACCCCGUAAGUUCGCGAUAAGGGGUCCCUCCAGGUGCUGCUAUUUCGAUAUCAGCAUGCUGAGGGCGCAGUGAAGUGGCUCUAGCGACUGUUUACCAAAAACACAGUUCUCUGCGAACACGUUAAAGUGGAUGUAUAGAGAAUGACGCCUGCUCGGUGCCGGAAGGUUAAGGGGAUGGGUUAGCUCCUUCGGGGGCGAAGCUCCGAACUGAAGCCCCGGUAAACGGCGGCCGUAACUAUGACGGUCCUAAGGUAGCGAAGUUCCUUGUCGGGUAAGUUCCGACGUGCAUGAACGGCGUAACGACUGGAGCACUGUCUCAAGGACAGACUCGGUGAAAUUGUAGACGUGGUGAAGAUACCACGUACCCGCGGCAAGACGGAAAGACCCCGUGAACCUUUA
rnacentral:rRNA from 1 species